UACGUAGGGUGCAGGCGUUAAUCGGAAUUACUGGGCGUAAAGCGUGCGCAGGCGGUUUUGUAAGUCUGAUGUGAAAUCCCCGGGCUCAACCUGGGAAUUGCAUUGGAGACUGCAAGGCUAGAAUCUGGCAGAGGGGGGUAGAAUUCCACGUGUAGCAGUGAAAUGCGUAGAGAUGUGGAGGAACACCGAUGGCGAAGGCAGCCCCCUGGGCUAACACUGACGCUCAUGCACGAAAGCGUGGGGAGCAAACAGG
rnacentral:rRNA from 1 species